GGGGGGGCUCGGGCCACCUGACC
rnacentral:miRNA from 1 species